AACUCUGCCCCUACCGCAAACGCUCUCUCUCUCUCUCUCUUUCCCUCCCCCACAAAGAGGCUCCCUUAUCUCUCACUUUACAUACCGGUCCUAGCCCUCCCGCAGCCCAGCUUCCCGCUGCCCAGCUUCCCACCCAGCAGUUCAAACUGACCAACAGUUGCCCACCACCUCGGCUUUUGGCUUCCCCACCCCCCAGCCCUUCAGCCCCCUAUAAAACAACCCUGCCCCUCUGAGCAGCGCGGCCAUUUUUCCUUUUCGUCCCGGCUGGCCUGCCCGGAGGCUCUUUCCUCUCAAUAAAGCCUGAACUUAAGGAAUUUCCUCUAGCCUGCGGUCCGGUUUUUUCCGAACGAGCUCAGUCUUCCCGCAGAGGGUAGGUCGGACAAAUGGUGCCGGAAACCCGGGACGGGAGCUGGGGCCGUUGGCCCGGCCACGGCCCCCCUCCCCGACCUACCCAACACUGGCCCUGCCACCUCCACGUUCCGAUUAAGGCUGGAUUGAAGCUUACCCCACAGCCUCUGAGUCUGCCGGGACAGUAGCCACUCAUCUCAUUCAAGACAUCAUCCCACGCUUUGGACUCCCGGCUACCAUACAGUCAGACAACGGCCUAGCCUUUAUCUCCAAAGUCACUAAUGCCGUUUCUACCUCUCUAGGAAUUCAGUAGAAGCUACAUGCCGCCUACCAUCCCCAGUCCUCUGGUAAGGUAGAACGGGCCAAUGGCCUAAUAAAGGAGCAUCUGACCAAGCUCAUGCUUGAGCUCCGCCAAUCCUGGGUAACCUUACUUCCUAUCGCCCUCACCAGAGUAAGAGCAAGCCCCCGGGGCCCAUCACAGCUUAGCCCAUUUGAGCUGCUGUAUGGUUGCCCCUUCCUGCUUUCAACUCCCCCACCGCCAGAGACUACUCCUCUAGACAGCUACCUCCCCUACUUUACUCAGGAUUAGGAGGAGGGGCACUAGUCCACUCUCACCUGGCUAUAGCCCGACUGACCUCGCAAUUCCAAGCAGCUAUUGAUGACUCUACUGAGUCUUUAGCAUCACUCCAACGACAGAUCACCUCAGUUGCCCAAGUUGCCUUGCAGAACCGAAGAGCCCUAGACCUGCUCACUGCUGAACGAGGAGGGACCUGUAUCUUCCUACAAGAAGAGUGCUGUUACUACAUCAGUGAAUCCGGCCUAGUAGAAACCCGAAUCGAGAGCCUCCAGAAACUCAAAACUAACCUCUAGAGUCAGAUGUUCUCGGCUGAAGCCACAGCGUGGUGGUCUUCCUCUAUGUAUACCCUCUUGUUACCAUUGCUUGGGCCCCUAAUAGCCGUUUGCCUAAUCUUACUUAUUGCUCCUUGCUUUCUCCAGUUCCUACAGCGGCUCUUUCAAGAACUGACUGGAGUCACCAUCCACCAGAUGCUGCUCCAACCCCACCCUGAACGAGUGCAAGAAACAGACCUCUCCCCAAA